rnacentral:rRNA from 1 species
UACGGAGGGUGCAAGCGUUAAUCGGAAUUACUGGGCGUAAAGGGUGCGUAGGCGGCGAUGUAAGUUACUUGUGAAAGUCCUGGGCUUAACCUGGGGUGGACGGGUGAUACUGCAUGGCUUGAGUAUGGGAGAGGGCAGUGGAAUUUCCGGUGUAGCGGUGAAAUGCGUAGAUAUCGGAAGGAACACCGGUGGCGAAGGCGGCUGCCUGGCCCAAUACUGACGCUGAGGCACGAAAGCGUGGGUAGCGAACAGGAUUAGAUACCCUGGUAGUCCACGCUGUAAAUGGUGUCAACUAGCUGUUGGCCUUAUAAAAGAGGUUAGUAGCGCAGCAAACGCGAUAAGUUGACCGCCUGGGGAGUACGGUCGCAAGAUUAAA